UACAGAGGGUGCAAGCGUUGUUCGGAAUUAUUGGGCGUAAAGGGCGCGUAGGCGGUGCCACAAGUCACCUGUGAAAUCUCCGGGCUUAACUCGGAGCCUGCAGGCGAAACUGUGGUGCUGGAGUGUGGGAGAGGUGCGUGGAAUUCCCGGUGUAGCGGUGAAAUGCGUAGAUAUCAGGAGGAACACCGGUGGCGAAGGCGGGACUCUGGGCCGAUACUGACGCUGGAGGAGCGAAAAGCGUGGGGAGCGAACAGG
rnacentral:rRNA from 1 species